rnacentral:snRNA from 1 species
UUUUUACUCUGGCAACACAUAUGCUAAAAUUGGAAUGAUUUGGAGAAGAUUAGCAUUGCCCUUGCCUGAUGAUAUGCAAGUUUGUGAAGUGCUCACAUAUUUU